UUCAGGAUUGGUGCUGAAUAACAUCAAUAAGAGAUGAGCCCUAUCUGCUUUUCUGUUGACUGUUAGUCCAAUGCAGUGCACGACUUUCACCGAGGUUUAGUCUGCCAGCCAAGGAAGUAGGUGCUGAAGCCAAACCCUGGAGGUGAACUGCACCUCUUUACAGAAAGGUGCAGAGCAAAAUGAAGC